rnacentral:lncRNA from 1 species
GGCUUGACUGUCUGUCCUUUUUAAGCUCAAAUCAAAACUUUAACAUAUAUAUCGCAAUGCUCAGCUCGGGCUCAACUUCCUCUUCCAUCUAAAAAGCCAAACUUUAGAUGUUUUGCUACUCACAUUGACUCUCUUCUUUUGAACCCGUGAAACCAUGUUCGAACCACAAUACUUUUCAAAGGCAUGCCGAGGUUGUUAUCCCUAAACAAGACCACUUCUUACUACCGAGUUAUCCAAACUAUUGCAUUGUUAUUAUUCGCC